ensembl:lncRNA
CGCGGCUCCGCCUGUGCGCGGCGCCCUGGGCUGCGGAGGGCGGCAGAGCCCGCGGCAUCUGCCAUUUGUCAUUCAGCCGCGGGCCCGCCCCCCGGCCUGGAUUUAGGCGCGCGUCGGGGCGUCCGGCCUCCCUCUCCGCGACGGACGGACGGUCGGACGGGCCGGGGCGCUCGCUCGGGCCGUCAUGGCUGCGCGGAGGACGCGCCCGGCCGGCCUCGCCUGAGCCGGCUCCGCCGCGGGGUAGGUGCCGCUGGCGGUGCCGGGGGGGCGGCCCGGCCUACUCCUCCUCCUGCUCCGCGCCUCACCGCGGGCUCGCGCGCGGCCAGUGUGCGCGAGCCGGCAGGGCCCGAAGCGGCCGAGGCCCGGGCGCCGGGGCAGCGUCGGAGCGGGCGGGACGGGCCGCUCGGCGGCGCGCGCAUCCAUCUUGGGACGCGGCGGCGGGACUGCGCCGCCCGGACGCGGACGCUCGCACUCCUGCGAGUGAAAGCGCGGACCCGGAGGUCGGGUCGGGGCAGCGGAUCAUCCCUGCCUGAUUCAUACCUGGUGCCAUUUGCCUUUGUUUGCUCUCGUGUCUGAUGUGGCCUCUGGUUCGGGUCACAUGUAAAACGCACCUGUACCUCACGUAGGAAGAAAAAGCAGGGAAAAACUUGAGAGUUGUUCUAAUUCACUUGCAGUAGGACAAAGGAUAUAAGUAAAGAGCAUCCAAUAAAAGGCAUGAAAAAAGCAGUAAAAAAUCUCCUACACCGAAAUGGGGUACACGAAUAUGUGCUUGUAAAGCGGAGCUCAGGUUACUGCACAACGGGAGAGUGUUUUUCUGAUGUCAUUGACUGAAGAUGUACAAGGUCUCUUUUACAGAUUGGAUCUUCAGACUUCUGGAAGGACUUCAUCCCACCUCACGGCCGACGGUUCCUGUCACCCAACAGGGGCUCACUACAUGUUCAGGCUGGCAUUGAACUCACUGUGUAGACCAGGGUGAACUUGAACUCAUGGUGAUCCUCCU